rnacentral:rRNA from 1 species
UCGGAUUGCAGUCUGCAACUCGAGUGCAUGAAGCUGGAAUCGCUAGUAAUCGCGAAUCAGAAUGUCGCGGUGAAUACGUUCCCGGGUCUUGUACACACCGCCCGUCACACCAUGGGAGUCGGAAAUGCCCGAAGUCAGUGACCUAACCGAAAGGGAGGAGCUGCCGAAGGUGGAGCCGGUAACUGGGGUGAAGUCGUAACAAGGUAGC